UGGUGAAGACUUGAGACUUGCUUGGACUUGACCAUGUGUGACUUGUCCCCAUCUCUGUUUGUUACCAUACCUGAAAUACAUGUACCCAUACCUUAAACAAAAGCGCUGCUUUGCACUCUAGUUGCAAUUCUGCAACACACUUACUCCUUUAUGCAACACACUUGGUCCUGCAUACUGCACUCUAUUUCAUACAUAAGACACUUCGUUCAAAAAUGAAAUCUCAGGGUGCCAUUUGGAAAACACAUGUAUCCAAAAUACAAAACACAUCAGGUAAUUGCAACCACUCAAAUACGCACCUGAAGGCACUUACUUGCAAAACUGAACACCAAUCAGCCAGCUACUAAAAGCCCUCAGUUUAGCCAUUUCAAAAACUUUGCAAGCAUGGAUGGAGGGAGAGCAAGAGGCAGAGGUAGAGCAAGAGGAGGAGGACACGGUCAAGGUCGAAGGGCCCAUGCACGGACCCUAUGACAUAAGAGCAACUUUGGUGGACCAUGUCAUCAACCAUGGCCUGACUAUGAGGGAAGCUGGGCAGAGAGUCCACCCACAUCUAAGCCGCUUCACAGUGGCAUCCAUAAUAAGGACAUUCCGACUGGAAAACAGAAUGACUAGAAGACCUUCUGGGGGAGGACGCCAAAGCCUGUUCACACAACAGCAGGAACUUGCCGUUGUGGACCUAGUGAGGGCAGACAAUGCCAUCCGUCUCCAGCUAUGACAGAAAAUACUUGCAGACAGGCAAGUGUUCAACAACAUAAACCAUGUGAGCAUCACCACCAUCAGACGCAUCUUGGGAAAACACAACAUCACCAUGAAGCAGCUCUACAGGGUCUCAUUUGAGAGGAACAGUGUCUGGGUCAAAGGACUUGUAGCUGAAUAUGUACGGAGAAUCUUGGCCAUGGAUGGAGCUGCACAGCCUCAUGGAUUCAUUUACAUUGAUGAAGCUGGAUUCGACCUGAGCAAAACAAGAUGACGGGGUCGUAAUGUAAUUGGCCACAGGGCAAUUGUGCACGUCCCGGGGCAGCGCGGGGGUAAUAUCACAUUGUGUGGCGCCAUAAGCCUUUGAGGGCUUCUGCAUCAUCAUGCAAAACUAGGUCCAUACAAUAGCCAACAUAUACUCACAUUUCUAGAUGCUCUCCAUAAUAUGGUUGUACAGAACAGACCAGAUCAGCCCAGGUUUGUGGUGGUAUGGGAUAAUGUCAGUGAAAAUAUG